CACAGAGUUUCGUUCAGUUAACGAUGACAGGUUUAACUGUGAGGUUAGAUUUCUCACGAUGUAUUUGGGUCGUGAAGCCUUCACCAAACGUCAUGUAAUGUUAUUUAAAUUUGAAUGUACGGUCGAAAUGUACCUGUUUUUGUUUAUACUUUCGUGUGUGUUCCUUUAAAUGUACGAUAAAGUGGUUGUUUUUAUCGUGAUUGUGAUUACGGAAUUAAAUAAUUUUCCUUUUUUUUGUAAUGGGUUGUUCGAUUCUCAUUUUAUUUAGUUUUUAUUUCGAUGUGCAUAUCUUUGAGCCAAAUUUGCUAACGCAUCAAGAAAGAAAACCGGACAAUGGAGUGCAAUUAUCUCGUGGUAGAUCGAAAUGAAUCCCCCAUUUACAACAAUAAGGGUCAAGUUUUGGUCUACAAUUGUGUGUGGAAGUAUUAUGUUGAUUUUGCCAGAUAUUAUUCUCCAAAAACAAUUCUCAGCUAUUUUUUCUCGGAGAUAUCUAACCUCAAUUUUUUAUUAGCUGAGAUCAGUUUCUACGUUGAGGCAGAACUCGAAAUAAUUCCUCGGCUUAGUUUGGAUGCUCAAGACUGUUUUAUGAUGAAUAAUGAGAGCGAAACAGUAGCACAGGAUGCAAGAGUCAACGGUGUAGAUGGGACCGUUGAUGCGGAUGCAAUUGAUGACAUAGACGUGGCUAGGCUACACAAGUAUUGGAUCAAGAAAUGGAUGCUAUCGACAUCACAAAAUCGAGCAACUCCAAAGCUUACUGGACAUAUGACAUAACCAUUACCCUGAUCAACAAAUACAAGGACAACUAUGGGUUGUUUGCGGAUUCCAUGCACAAGAACACCGAGAUUUGGGAUAGGAUUGCACAGGAGUUCCGCGAGGCAGGUUUUAUGUUCGAUGGCACACAGUGUGAGAACCGGUGGAAGUACAUCUGAGGAAAAUACAUCAAAAAACGCGACAAUGAUUCAACGUCAACACUGGUGGGGCAUUCUAUUGUUUUGAAUACUUUGACGAGAUUGAUGAAAUACAGGCAAAAACCUAAUGUGGCGCCAAAGCACUUAGUAUCUUCAAGUACACGCCUGACACAAUCACCGAACUGGUCCUCUUCAACGGUUAACUCGAAAACGAUUUCACCAUCGAAUGAGUCAGAAAACUCAUCGAAAAUCCGAUCGAGUCCAGCAUCUAAAUCGAAAACAAUGUCACCGUCGAAUCGACGUUCUUUGCCAGUGCGUUCGCUGGAUCCGUCUUCCGAAUUCGGAAAUGUUCAGAUGUUUUUUUCUGGCCAAGGCAUUGAUUAGGAUCAUGAACAAGGUAACGACACCUCUGCUGCCAACGAUAGUUCUUCAUCUAAAUCGAAAUCAAAGAAAGAAGCUCGAGAGGAGAGCGAAAAGCGUCAGAAGCGAUAUAACAAAGAAAUUAUAGAUAUACAGAGAGAGUCUUUGUCUGUGUUCAAAGAAGUUAUGUUUAAAAUCGCCGAUGCGAUGACAAAAAAA